AUUGAACGCUGGCGGCAUGCCUUACACAUGCAAGUCGAACGGUAACAGGUCUUCGGAUGCUGCCGAGUGGCGAACGGGUGAGUAAUACAUCGGAACGUGCCCGAUCGUGGGGGAUAACGGAGCGAAAGCUUUGCUAAUACCGCAGACGAUCUACGGAUGAAAGCAGGGGACCGCAAGGCCUUGCGCGGACGGGGCGGCCGAUGGCAGAUUAGGUAGUUGGUGGGAUAAAAGCUUACCAAGCCGACGAUCUGUAGCUGGUCUGAGAGGACGACCAGCCACACUGGGACUGAGACACGGCCCAGACUCCUACGGGAGGCAGCAGUGGGGAAUUUUGGACAAUGGGCGAAAGCCUGAUCCAGCCAUGCCGCGUGCAGGAUGAAGGCCUUCGGGUUGUAAACUGCUUUUGUACGGAACGAAAAGACUCUUUCUAAUAAAGAGGGUCCAUGACGGUACCGUAAGAAUAAGCACCGGCUAACUACGUG
rnacentral:rRNA from 1 species